rnacentral:rRNA from 1 species
UACGUAGGGUGCGAGCGUUGUCCGGAAUUAUUGGGCGUAAAGAGCUCGUAGGCGGUUUGUCGCGUCGACUGUGAAAACCCGAGGCUUAACCUCGGGCCUGCAGUCGAUACGGGCAGACUAGAGUUCGGUAGGGGAGACUGGAAUUCCUGGUGUAGCGGUGAAAUGCGUAGAUAUCAGGAGGAACACCGGUGGCGAAGGCGCUCAUCUGGCCCAAUACUGACGCUGAGGCGCGAAAGCUAGGGGAGCAAACGGG